GAUGAAGAACGCAGUGAAAUGCGAUAAUUAAUGUGAAUUGCAGAAUUCAGUGAAUCAUCGAGUCUUUGAACGCACAUUGCGCCCCCUGGUAUUCCGGGGGGCAUGCCUGUCCGAGCGCCAUUGCUGCCCUCAAGCACGGCUUGUGUGUUGGGCUUCCGUCCCUGGCAACGGGGACGGGCCCAAAAGGCAGUGGCGGCACCAUGUCUGGUCCUCGAGCGUAUGGGGCUUUGUCACCCGCUCCCGUAGGUCCAGCUGGCAGCUAGCCUCGCAACCAAUCUUUUUAACCAGGUUGACCUCGGAUCAGGUAGGGAUACCCGCUGAACUUAAGCAUAUCAAUAAGCGGAGGA
rnacentral:misc_RNA from 1 species